UCAUCUGAAAAGAAAGAAGACGAUGAAGCAUCAAGCCAGGGAGAAGACGAUUCAUCAGACAUGAAAGCCGUGCACAAGAAAUCAAGGAAGAUAGACAAUACAGAUGACAUGUCCAUCAAUGAGAUUGCAAAAGGGCGAUGCAUCAUAUGAAGAGGAAGAAGGCGAUGAAACAUGAGAUGAACCAUAAGAAGAUGGACAAGGUAUGAGAGCAGUAGACAAUACAUCAUGGAAAAUAGACAACAUAUAUGACUUGUCCAUCGAUGAGGUCAUAUAUGUAGACAUUCUUUUUUGUCCCAACCAUCUACACCUCUCUUGGUCCACCGACUUUUAUCCAAUUACCGACGCUGUUUUUUUUUAACCACGGUGUCUCUAGUUCGAUAAACCGUCACUCCUUCUCGUGAGAGACUGUAGAGAAGCUAAACCAAAUAUUAUAAAAAAUCUAAAUAACCAAUAUCA